rnacentral:rRNA from 1 species
AUUUUAAAUCUAACAACCCACACCCAAAGAUUAAAAGUUAUGUUCUUUAAAUUUUAAGGAUUUGGCGGUAAUUUAGUCCAGUUAGAGGAACCUGUUCGGUAAACGAUGAACCUCGCAAAAUCUUUCCCCAUCUAAAAGUUUGUAUACCGUCAUUAUUAGGUAACUCUGAAAAGAAAAGUUACUUUAAUAAGCAGCCACUCUGCUUAAUAUAUUAGAUCAAGGUGCAGCCUAUGAAGGGGUCAGAAUGGGUUACAAUAAAACUUAUUUACAACGGAAAGAAAACCGAAAUAUUUUCUUAAAGGAGGAUUUAAUAGUAAGAUUAUUUUAAUAAGUUAAUCUGAUAGAGGAUCUAAAUUAAGUACAUAUCGCCCGUCGCUUUCGUCUACAAACGAAAUAAGUCGUAACAUAG